AUUGAACGCUGGCGGCAGGCCUAACACAUGCAAGUCGAGCGAGCGGCGGACGGGUGCGUACUGUCUGGGAAACUGCCUGAUGGAGGGGGAUAACUACUGGAAACGGUAGCUAAUACCGCAUACCAUCAGAUGUGCCCAGAUGGGAUUAGCUAGUAGGUGGGGUAACGGCUCACCUAGGCGACGAUCCCUAGCUGGUCUGCGAGGAUGACCGGCCACACUGGAACUGAGACACGGGCCAGACGCCUACGGGAGGCAGCAGUGGGGAAUAUUGCACAAUGGGCGCAAGCCUGAUGCAGCAAUGCCGCGUGUGUGAAGAAGGUCUUCGGGUGGUAAAGCACUGUCAGCGGGGAGGCGGUACCCGCAGAAGAAGCAACGGCUAACUCCGUGCCAGCAGCCGCGGUAAUAC
rnacentral:rRNA from 1 species